rnacentral:rRNA from 1 species
UACGUAGGGGGGCAAGCGUUGUCCGGAUUUAUUGGGCGUAAAGAGCGUGUAGGCGGCCAGGUAGGUCCGUUGUGAAAACUCGAGGCUACACCUCGAGACGCCGAUGGAAACCAUCGGGCUAGAGUGCGGAAGAGGCGAGUGAAUUCCUGGUGUAGCGGUGAAAUGCGCAGAUAUCAGGAGGAACACCAAUUGCGAAGGCAGCCGCGUGGGACGUUACUGACGCUGAGACGCGAAAGCGUGGGGAGCAAACGGG